CCUACGUGUGGCAGCAGUGAGGAAUAUUGGUCAAUGGACGGAAGUCUGAACCAGCCAUGCCGCGUGCAGGAAGACGGCUCUAUGAGUUGUAAACUGCUUUUGUACAAGGGUAAACCUGAAUACGUGUAUUCAGCUGAAAGUACUGUACGAAUAAGGAUCGGCUAACUCCGUGCCAGCAGCCGCGGUAAUAAGGAGGAUCCAAGCGUUAUCCGGAUUUAUUGGGUUUAAAGGGUUCGUAGGCGGAGUGAUAAGUUAGAGGUGAAAUGUCCGAGCGUAACUCGGGAACUGCCUUUAAUACUGUUGAGCUAGAGAGUAGAUGCGGUAGGCGGAAUGUAUGGUGUAGCGGUGAAAUGCUUAGAGAUCAUACAGAACACCGAUUGCGAAGGCAGCUUACCAAUCUAUAUCUGACGUUGAGGCACGAAAGCGUGGGGAGCAAACAGGAUUAGAUACCCCAGUAGUC
rnacentral:rRNA from 1 species